UACGGAGGAUGCAAGCGUUAUCCGGAAUGAUUGGGCGUAAAGCGUCCGCAGGUGGCUAUGUAAGUCUGCUGUUAAAGAGUGAGGCUCAACCUCAUAAGAGCAGUGGAAACUACAUGGCUAGAGUGCGUUCGGGGCAGAGGGAAUUCCUGGUGUAGCGGUGAAAUGCGUAGAUAUCAGGAAGAACACCAAUGGCGAAAGCAGCUCUCUGGGACGGUACUGACGCUGAGACGCGAAAGCGUGGGGAGCGAACAGG
rnacentral:rRNA from 1 species